CCGCUGACCCUGGCAUAAGUGGGAGGUGUUCCCGGGCCUCAACUGCUUCUACUGUGGAGGCCGGCUCAUGCUGGCAGGCCACGGUGGCUUCUUCGCUCACGCUGCUGCUCAUAUUCAGCACCACCAUCCUCUUCUCCGUCUUCGACUGUCCCUAUCUGGCCCGCACACUGACCCUGGCCAUCCCCAUCAUCGCUGCCAUCCUUUUCUUCUUCUUCAUCAUGAGCUGUCUCCUGCAGACCAGUUUCACUGACCCUGGCAUCUUACCCCGUGCCACCAUCUAUGAGGCCGCUGCCCUGGAGAAGCAGAUUGAUAACACUGGCAGCUCCACAUACCGACCGCCCCCUCGGACUCGGGAAGUGAUGAUCAACGGACAGAUGGUGAAGCUCAAGUAUUGCUUCACCUGUAAGAUGUUUCGGCAACCCCGGACCUCACACUGCAGUGUCUGCGACAACUGUGUGGACCGGUUUGACCAUCACUGCCCAUGGGUGGGCAACUGUGUGGGGAGACGGAAUUACCGGUUCUUUUAUGCAUUUAUUCUCUCCCUCUCCUUCCAGACGGCCUUCAUCUUCGCCUGUGUGGUCACCCACCUGACCCUGCUUUCUCAAGGAAGCAACUUCCUCUCCGCUCUAAAAAAGGCACCAGCAAGUGUGCUGGAGUUGGUAAUCUGCUUCUUCUUAAUCUGGUCCAUCCUGGGCCUCUCAGGCUUCCACACGUACCUCGUGGCCUCCAACCUGACAACUAAUGAAGACAUCAAAGGGUCUUGGUCCAGGAAGAGGGGUGGUGAGGCCUCUGUCAACCCCUACAGCCAUAGAAGUAUUAUCACCAACUGCUGUGCUGUGCUCUGUGGCCCAUUGCCUCCCAGCCUGAUUGACCGGCGAGGAUUCAUGCAGUCUGAUACGGUGUUGCCCUCACCCAUCAGAAGGGAUGAGCCAGCCUGUGGAACCAAGCCAGACGCCACCAUGGUAGGAGGCCACCCCUGA